AGAGAUCGAAGAGAAUCAAAUCGAACACAGAAGUGUUCAAAUCAUAUAAAUUGGAAAAACUGCUUAGCAGCGAGCAUGUACAUCAGAUAUCCAGCAGAGAGCUAUUGGAAAGAGUCAAAACUUCAGCUCCGCGUAAGAUUCCACGGCCGAGCCGGGUAGUCAAGACGAAACGACGCAUAACGCCCAUACGCAAUAUGAAAAGGCAAAAGAAGUUUAUGCAAGGCCUAAGGCAGAACUGGCGAAAGAAACACAUUAUGCCAGAGUCCAAGAAUAUGGUGUAUUGGAUCAGCGUGGAGCAGCAAAACUUGGCUGCACCCAAAUUGGCGCGAUUUCAUCCAGGCGUUACAAUUGGCAGCCGAAUUGACUUUGAGCUGAUUAACGUGAAAUCAACUAAGAUGAUCUUGAAAGAAACGCCAACGUUCUCGGCUCUGAAGAGUUCUAAAACUAAGAAGCUUUUUUGGACCCAUCUAUGCUUGUUCAGUUUAGUCGUAUUUGUCAUAUCACCUUAUUUGGCAUCGCUCUGCACAUGGUCGUCCAAGUGUUUGGAAACUAGGAGCAAUGACACAGCCAUGCGCUUGGGUAUUUACAUCUGCCAUAUCAUUCUGUUAGUAUUUGUCAAGUCUAUUUAAGUAAUGCUGUAUUAUGUUUCUAAAUUGUAACUGCUUUAUAUAGCAUUUUAUAAUGAAUAGAAUACAACUUUUGAGUAUGCAA